rnacentral:rRNA from 1 species
CCUACGGGUGGCAGCAGUGAGGAAUAUUGGUCAAUGGGCGCGAGCCUGAACCAGCCAAGUAGCGUGAAGGAUGACUGCCCUACGGGUUGUAAACUUCUUUUAUAAAGGAAUAAAGUGAGGCACGUGUGCCUUUUUGUAUGUACUUUAUGAAUAAGGAUCGGCUAACUCCGUGCCAGCAGCCGCGGUAAUACGGAGGAUCCGAGCGUUAUCCGGAUUUAUUGGGUUUAAGGGGUGCGUAGGGGGGUUUUUAAGUCAGCGGUAAAAUUUUCGGGCUAAACCCGGGACGGCCGUUGAAACUGGGGGUCGUGAGUGGGCGAGAGGUAUGCGGAAUGCGUGGUGUAGCGGUGAAAUGCAUAGAUAUCACGAAGAACUCCGAUUGCGAAGGCAGCAUACCGGCGCCCGACUGACGCUGAGGCACGAAAGCGUGGGGAUCGAACAGGAUUAGAUACCCUAGUAGUC